rnacentral:misc_RNA from 1 species
UCCGCAUCUGUCACUUCACUUCCAAGCAACAAAUUUUGGCAUGGCCGAAUAAAUCAAAAUUUCAGUAUACUCGUAAAACUAUCAAAAUUAAAGCCAGACUACUGGAAAGAGAAAAAAAGAAAGAAAAAACCAAACAAAACUAAAAUGCCCCACUGCAUUUACGAAUUUUCUCGGGGACGUGGCACAGGAGUUGCCGAAGCUAUAGGCAACUGGGGAUUUUCCAACAGGAUUGCGAGCUCCGGGCAGGAACUUCGACGUCUGCAAUGUCUUUUCGCGAAAAUGGACAGUUUGCGGUCCACAAAGAAGCCGAUAUGCGUUCGUUACGACUGUAGAAAUGAUCCGGAAGCUUGGCACGUAAAACCAAGUCCUCACGAGUGUAAACCAGCCUGGACUUUUCCUGAAAAAAGACCAUUAAUUGUUUACAACUCAUGUGCAGAUAUUAUUGUUGUUUCUAAUCUCGUCGACGUUGGCAGCGAUUUGAGCUACCCGAUACCUGGUCGAAGUUACAUGGCGCAAGGGACUGACAAAUGGUACAGAAGAGGACCGGAUUGUUGCCCUCAGCCGAGCUGUCUCGCUCCUCAGUGUCCGAAACCUUGUUGCAACUGACAUAAGAAGUGAAGAUUCAAUUUCAAAUUAAAUUGCUUCAACGGAAUUGUACUUUCUAUAAUUAAUAAUCUGUAAACCGUUUAAUGAACAUUAAAUAUAUCAAGAGACGCAGAAGAUUUUUAUCAGCAGAUUUCAAUUCAAUGCAUCAAUGUGCGAAAAAGAAAAUGGUCCACCUAUACACUACUGUGCAAUCUGAAUAUGUUACCAAUUGAAAAACAAAAUAUACUUGGCAACCUAAAAUUAAAUAAAAACAAUUAAAAACGAAAAUUUCAUGUAAACGAACAGAUCGUAAAUCUAAAUUUUAACUAAAAAUUACAUUUCUAAAUUGCAUUCCAUAAAUACAGAUUUUGGCUGAAAAUUUAGGAUAAUUUUUCUACCUAUUUCGGUUAAGAAGAACUCGGUAAUUAGGGGGAAGUAGGAGUAUAAGGCUGCAAGAUGCCUGCAAAGAAAGCGGACAAGGGUAAAGAGGACAAGAGCAAAGAUAAGAAAGACGAAAAAGGCGGGGAAAAGAAAAAACCAAAAGGUCUUCCUAAGGGUGCUGGAAUGGGUGGUACUAUCGGGUUGAUGGAAAAACCGAUCAAGAAUUGCCCGACAAAAGUCAAUAAGUGUGAACCGCCUCCGUGUCCACCGCCACAAUGUUGCCCACAGAACAUUCCCGUCUGUUAUCCACCUCCGGGUUGUCCGCCCCACUAAACCACGAAUAUUUCAAUUAUCAUACAAAAAAUAUAAAUCAAUAAAUAUACGAUCUGUGACAAAA